GCUACACGUUCUCUUUCCCCGUACCGCUGACGUCACCUGAUAGGGGUGGGACAGGUGGGCGGUUGCGAUCAGGCAGGUGUAAAGGCACCCGGGGUCCUCAUGCCGGUAAGGCACACGGGGUCCUCAUGCCGGUAGCAGCAGUGUCUAGAGGUGUGGGUCGCAGCGCAAGGUAUGUCUUAACUACCUCAUUGGGGAAUUAGGAUAGUUACUUGGCCAGUGCACUACGGGGGAUUUAAUUGUGUUUCUGUUGGGCUAGUGAUCGUUGAGUGCUCGCCGACGGUGACACUGUCUGUGCGAGUGACGAGCCUGGGUCUGCGUUCAGCGAUCCCGAUGGGAGAAGGAACAAGACGCUACCGGCAAUCCGAGUGUCGGCUGCUGUUCUCGUGAUUGGGGUGAAUGAGAUACGUGUGCAGGUGCUGCUUUUAGGACGCGUUUUGUAUUUCUGUUUGUUUGGUUGUCUGCUUCAUGUGUUCUUUUUUGUUUCUUUCUUUCCCCCUAGUCGGUGGACUUUGAGAUUUGUGCUGGUAGACUAAUUGUGACCACCGGCUAGCGGGCCCCCCCCCCCCUUGUUUUUGUUUUAUGUACUAAUGGGCGUCCUAUUGUAUUGACGACCUACAGCGACUAACUUUUAAUUAAAUGAGAAUAAAGAAUAUAUUUUUAUACCUGUAAGUCAAGCCUGUGCGUGCGUUUCUAGAGUAAAAUAGAGUGCCCCUGCUCUUCUCCUAGGGGUGGCGUUGUCCGCAUUACUCAGUCUUAGCCCCGCCACAUUUGGCGUUGUCGGCAGGAUACCAUUGCGUCGCUAGGUUAGUCUAUUUAAGCAGCACCUGUGUGUGUGUGUGUGUGUGUGUGUGUGUGUGUGUGUGUGUGUGUGUGUGUGUGUGUGUGUGUGUGUGUGUGUGUGUGUGUGUGUGUGUGUGUGUGUGUGUGGGAG